rnacentral:rRNA from 1 species
UCAGAUUGAACGCUGGCGGCAGGCCUAACACAUGCAAGUCGAGCGGUAACAUUUCUAGCUUGCUAGAAGAUGACGAGCGGCGGACGGGUGAGUAAUACUUGGGGAUCUGCCUGAUGGCGGGGGACAACCACUGGAAACGGUGGCUAAUACCGCAUAAUGCCUACGGGCCAAAGUGUGGGACCUUCGGGCCACAUGCCAUCAGAUGAACCCAAGCGAGAUUAGCUAGUUGGUGAGGUAACGGCUCACCAAGGCGACGAUCUCUAGCUGGUCUGAGAGGAUGAUCAGCCACACUGGGACUGAGACACGGCCCAGACUCCUACGGGAGGCAGCAGUGGGGAAUAUUGGACAAUGGGCGCAAGCCUGAUCCAGCCAUGCCGCGUGUGUGAAGAAGGCCUUCGGGUUGUAAAGCACUUUCAGUGGUGAGGAAGGCCUUGUAGUUAAUAGCUGCAAGGAUUGACGUUAGCCACAGAAGAAGCACCGGCUAACUCCGUGCCAGCAGCCGCGGUAAUACGGAGGGUGCGAGCGUUAAUCGGAAUUACUGGGCGUAAAGCGCACGUAGGCGGUUUGUUAAGCAAGAUGUGAAAGCCCAGGGCUCAACCUUGGAAUAGCAUUUUGAACUGGCAAGCUAGAGUUUUGAAGAGGGUGGUAGAAUUUCCAGUGUAGCGGUGAAAUGC